AUUGAACGCUGGCGGCAGGCCUAACACAUGCAAGUCGAGCGGAUGAAGGGAGCUUGCUCCUGGAUUCAGCGGCGGACGGGUGAGUAAUGCCUAGGAAUCUGCCUGGUAGUGGGGGAUAACGUCCGGAAACGGGCGCUAAUACCGCAUACGUCCUGAGGGAGAAAGUGGGGGAUCUUCGGACCUCACGCUAUCAGAUGAGCCUAGGUCGGAUUAGCUAGUUGGUGGGGUAAAUGCCUACCAAGGCGACGAUCCGUAACUGGUCUGAGAGGAUGAUCAGUCACACUGGAACUGAGACACGGUCCAGACUCCUACGGGAGGCAGCAGUGGGGAAUAUUGGACAAUGGGCGAAAGCCUGAUCCAGCCAUGCCGCGUGUGUGAAGAAGGCCUUCGGAUUGUAAAGCACUUUAAGUUGGGAGGAAGGGCAGUAAGUUAAUACCUUGCUGUUUUGACGUUACCAACAGAAUAAGCACCGGCUAACUUCGUG
rnacentral:rRNA from 1 species